CCUACGGGAGGCAGCAGUGGGGAAUAUUGGGCAAUGGGCGCAAGCCUGACCCAGCAACGCCGCGUGAAGGAAGAAGGCUUUCGGGUUGUAAACUUCUUUUAUGAGGGAAGAGCAGAAGACGGUACCUCUUGAAUAAGCCAUGGCUAACUACGUGCCAGCAGCCGCGGUAAUAGGUAGGUGGCAAGCGUUGUCCGGAUUUACUGGGUGUAAAGGGCGUGCAGCCGGGAAGACAAGUCGUAUGUGAAAUCCCGCGGCUCAACCGCGGAAGUGCAGUUGAUACUGGUUAUCUUGAGUACCGGAGAGGUCAUCGGAAUUCCUGGGGUAGCGGUGAAAUGCGGAGAUAUAAGGAAGAACACCAGUGGCGAAGGCGUAUGACUGGACUGCAACUGACGGUGAGGCACGAAAGCGUGGGGAGCAAACAGGAUUAGAUACCCGAGUAGUC
rnacentral:rRNA from 1 species